AGAAUCAACGCUGGCGGCGUGCCUAACACAUGCAAGUCGCACGAGAAAGGGGAGCAAUCCCUGAGUACAGUGGCGCACGGGUGAGUAACACGUGAAUAAUCUACCUCCGAGUGGGGAAUAAACUGAGAGAAAUCUUAGCUAAUACCGCAUAACACUUACGAGUCAAAGCAGCAAUGCGCUUGGAGAGGAGUUCGCGGCCGAGUUAGUUAGUUGGCGGGGUAAUGGCCCACCAAGACGAUGAUCGGUA
rnacentral:rRNA from 1 species